UACGUAGGGUGCAAGCGUUAAUCGGAAUUACUGGGCGUAAAGCGUGCGCAGGCGGUUCGGAAAGAAAGAUGUGAAAUCCCAGGGCUCAACCUUGGAACUGCAUUUUUAACUACCGGACUAGAGUAUGUCAGAGGGAGGUGGAAUUCCACGUGUAGCAGUGAAAUGCGUAGAUAUGUGGAGGAACACCGAUGGCGAAGGCAGCCUCCUGGGAUAAUACUGACGCUCAUGCACGAAAGCGUGGGGAGCAAACAGG
rnacentral:rRNA from 2 species